CCCUGGUGGCUCAAAUGGUAAAGUGUCUGCCUGCUACGCAGGAGACCUGGGUUCGAUCCCCGGAUCAGGAA
rfam:TPA: Bos taurus chromosome 1, whole genome shotgun sequence.